UACGGGGGGAGCAAGCGUUGUUCGGAUUUACUGGGCGUAAAGGGCGCGUAGGCGGCCACCGCAAGUCAAUUGUGAAAUCUCCGGGCUUAACUCGGAAAGGUCAACUGAUACUGCGGGGCUAGAGUGCGGAAGGGGCAACUGGAAUUCUCGGUGUAGCGGUGAAAUGCGUAGAUAUCGAGAGGAACACCUGCGGCGAAGGCGGGUCUCUGGACAGUUCCUGACGCUGAGGCACGAAGGUCAGGGGAGCAAACGGG
rnacentral:rRNA from 1 species